UCUGAUCAUCUCUCUGGUUCUGGUUCUGGUUCUGGUUCUUCUGGUUCUGAUCAUCAUUGGUCUCUUAUUACUGUUUCUCUAUAAGAAUCAUCAGUCUCGAGGCGGUGAUUCGUCAUCUCAGACUGGAGCAGGAAAACAUAAAGCAGUUUCUUACACUGGAUGUGAUUAUGAGGAGAUUAAAGACAGUCACAGACAAUUACCCACAAACCCCUCUGAUUCAUUUAACACUGUUUAUGCCACUGUUCAAUUACCCACAAACCCCUCUGAUUCAUCUAACAAUGUUUAUGCCACUGUUCAAUUACCCACAAACCCCUCUGAUUCAUCUAACACUGUUUAUGCCACUGCUCAAUUACCCACAAACCCCUCUGAUUCAUCUAACACUGUUUAUGCCACUGCUCAAUUACCCACAAACCCCUCCGAUUCAUCUAACACUGUUUAUGCCACUGCUCACUUACCCACAAACCUCUCUGAUUCACACUUCUCAAUUACCCACAAACCCCUCUGAUUCAUCUAACACUGUUUAUGCCACUGCUCAAUUACCCACAAACCCCUCUGCUUCAUCAGUGUACUCUACAGUUCAGGAAGCCACUGGUGACUCUCAGAUCUUCAUCACAUCUGCUGAGGACCUGAAUUAUACCGUGGUGAAUUUCCAGAAGAAAGCAGACUGUCCUGACAGAGUCAGAUUGGGGAAUAAUCAGGAUUACAGUGAAUACACUGCUGUCAAUCCUCUCACUGUCUGAAGAUCCACAGCAGACAAUCUCAAUGAGAUGAAGACUUUGAUUCUGGGUUUAAGCCUCUAUGUUUGGUAUUUGUGUUAUUUACGUGGCUCUCUUCUGCUCUGUAUUUAGGACUUGUAAGUGUCCUAGUGUUUAUUUUUUCUGAAAAUGACACUGAAAUAAAUGAUCAGAAACCCUGGAGUUUUCGGUCAGAUUUUGAUGUGAAUAAGUAAUAAAUAUUUCAGAACAAAAGUGUCAAAUUAAAUCAGAAUAUGCUGUGGUCUUCAGGUAAA